rnacentral:rRNA from 1 species
AACGAACGCUGGCGGCAUGCCUAACACAUGCAAGUCGAACGAACCCUUCGGGGUUAGUGGCGCACGGGUGCGUAACACGUGGGAAUCUGCCCUUUGCUUCGGAAUAACAGUUAGAAAUGACUGCUAAUACCGGAUAAUGUCUUCGGACCAAAGAUUUAUCGGCAAAGGAUGAGCCCGCGUAGGAUUAGCUUGUUGGUGAGGUAAAGGCUCACCAAGGCGACGAUCCUUAGCUGGUCUGAGAGGAUGAUCAGCCACACUGGGACUGAGACACGGCCCAGACUCCUACGGGAGGCAGCAGUGGGGAAUAUUGGACAAUGGGCGAAAGCCUGAUCCAGCAAUGCCGCGUGAGUGAUGAAGGCCUUAGGGUUGUAAAGCUCUUUUACCAGGGAUGAUAAUGACAGUACCUGGAGAAUAAGCUCCGGCUAACUCCGUGCCAGCAGCCGCGGUAAAGUAG